rnacentral:tRNA from 1 species
GCGGGCCUGUAUGCUAGCUUCCCAAGCUGAAUGUCGUGGGUUCGAUUCCCAUCGCCCGCUCCA